rnacentral:misc_RNA from 1 species
GAGAGAGAGAGAGAGACUUUUAAAUGCAUGUUUUAGUAUAAUUCACAUACCCAGUUUUGUUACACUUAUGAACAAACACCUAGGCGAAAAGUGCAGCUCAUUGGAAAAGCUAGUUUCUAGAGCUUUUUGUCAAAGUUGUCAUUUUAUGAUAUUUGACACUGAUACCCACAGUACCUGUUAUGAUAAAAACUUCAGCUCCAAGUGUGCAAGAAAAUGAGGCUGAGUUGGUUUACAAACGGGUUACUUAUGGCAGGAAAGUCAGAAAGGGUCAAGCUUCAACUUGAUAGUUAGAGCAGCUGGUAGUGCAAUAGUUGUUAAUAGAUGUUUGUUUGUUUGUUAGCAGAUGUUAGUUUGUUUAGCAGUAACUUCUGUUAUUUAUUGUGGCUUUUUUUUUCUUAAUUUUAUUUUCUUUAUUGGUCACACUGGCUGACCAUGUCAGUUGUUGUUAGCAUUCCAUGUAAGUUAUAAAAGUGGGAUACUGAGAUGUAGUCCUAGUCUUUAGGGAGUUGUGUUACUGUUAUUGGAGUGGCCUGCAUUUAUGGAAGAUAUGGAAUGAAAAAACGUAUGGAAUGAAAAAACGUAAGGCACAUUCUAAAAAAUAAAGUUUAUCUUGGAGAUCGAGGGGUUCUGUCUUAAUGAGCCCCAAACACCAAUUAAGCAAGAUAGGUAGAAAAGGCAGGAAAUCAUAAAAGGAGAAGCUCUUUGCAGAACUUGAAGAUUAUCCAAUCAAUCGCCCUAUAACAAGAUCCACAACUCUGGAUCAUAACAGCACCAAGCUAAUUCAUAGUCAAAGUUUUCUCAAAUAACUUGGUCUUUUUUCUCUGCGUCUUUUUGUCACAAUCUAUUUUCUUUUGGUCAUUUUAUGGCUUGUUCCUCCUUUUUUUUUUUACAAUCUUAAAAUUUUUGUACUUCUAUUAUUGAACAAGCAAGAUAUUUGUGUCUAGUUAUUUUAUACGUAUAGCAUUCUAUUUAAG